CCUACGGGAGGCUGCAGUGAGGAAUAUUGGUCAAUGGGCGGGAGCCUGAACCAGCCAAGCCGCGUGAGGGAAGAAGGUACAGCGUAUCGUAAACCUCUUUUGUCAGGGAACAAAGGCGGGGACUAGUCCCCGGAUGAGGGUACCUGAAGAAAAAGCAUCGGCUAACUCCGUGCCAGCAGCCGCGGUAAUACGGAGGAUGCGAGCGUUAUCCGGAUUUAUUGGGUUUAAAGGGUGCGCAGGCGGCCUGUUAAGUCAGCGGUAAAAGCCCGGGGCUCAACGUGGGAACUGCCUUUGAAACUGGCAAACUGGAGUGUGUAAGAGGAUAGUGGAAUUCCAGGUGUAGGAGUGAAAUCCGUAGAUAUCUGGAGGAACAUCAGUGGCGAAGGCGACUAUCUGGCACAUAACUGACGCUGAGGAGCGAAAGCGUGGGUAGCAAACAGGAUUAGAUACCCUUGUAGUC
rnacentral:rRNA from 1 species